rnacentral:rRNA from 1 species
GACCCUCCCGGCCUCCCGCCUCCGGGCGGGUCGGCGCCCGCCGGAGGAUAACCAAACUCUGAUUUAACGACGUUUCUUCUGAGUGGUACAAGCAAAUAAUCAAAACUUUUAACAACGGAUCUCUUGGUUCUGGCAUCGAUGAAGAACGCAGCGAAAUGCGAUAAGUAAUGUGAAUUGCAGAAUUCAGUGAAUCAUCGAAUCUUUGAACGCACAUUGCGCCCGCCAGCAUUCUGGCGGGCAUGCCUGUUCGAGCGUCAUUUCAACCCUCAAGCUCUGCUUGGUGUUGGGGCCCUACAGCUGAUGUAGGCCCUCAAAGGUAGUGGCGGACCCUCUCGGAGCCUCCUUUGCGUAGUAACUUUACGUCUCGCACUGGGAUCCGGAGGGACUCUUGCCGUAAAACCCCCAAUUCCAAAGGUGACCUCGAUCAUGU